CACAUGCAAGUCGAACGGAUAGCUACCCAUAGCUUUUUUAGCUAUAGGUUCGCUAUUAGUGGCAGACGGGUGAGUAAUGCAUAGGAAUCUACCUAGUAGUAUGGAAUAGCCAUUAGAAAUGAUGGGUAAUACUGUAUAAUCCCUGCGGGGGAAAGAUUUAUCGCUAUUAGAUGAGCCUAUGUUAGAUUAGUUAGUUGGUAAGGUAAUGGCUUACCAAGACUAUGAUCUAUAGCUGGUCUGAGAGGACGAUCAGCCACACUGGAACUGAGAUACGGUCCAGACUCCUACGGGAGGCAGCAGUGGGGAAUAUUGGACAAUGGGCGAAAGCCUGAUCCAGCUAUGCCGCGUGAGUGAAGAAGCCUCGGGUGU
rnacentral:rRNA from 1 species